rnacentral:hammerhead_ribozyme from 1 species
AUCCAAUUGACGCGUCCCAAACAGAACAAAACGCACGUUCUGGAU